GUGCAUGAAUGAAAAGUGGAAGAAGGAACAAGACAAGACGCGUAAACUUGUCCGAAGAAGGGCAUAACCGUCCUUGGGAAGGCACUAGUAUGUUCCGUUCUGAAUUGAUCCUCUCCCUCGAGCAAUACACACUGCACUCUAAAAUUCAACGUCAACCCCAUAAUAUACUUCUGUUUGUUUUUGUUUCAACUUCAGUUAUGCGUUUCUCUCUAUAGCCAGCUAUCAUCAAUUCAUCAUGUCAUCGCCAAACUCCGCCCGUCAGCCCCACGCGCCGCUCCUUCUCCCGCGCCCCGAUGCCGCCGCCCGCCUCCCCGUCCUGGCGCUCCUCCUCGGCCGCCGCGGCCACUCCGUCAUGGUCCGGGAGACGGCGGCGCGUGAGCUGGAGGAGCGGCGCGCCGACUGGACCUACUCGAAGCCGGUGGUGGCGCUGGACAUGACGUGGAACAUGGCCUUCGUCGUGGUCUCGGCGGUCAUGCUCGCCUGCACCGUCAAGGAGAACCCCAACACGCCGAUCCGCUGGUGGAUCUGCGGCUACGCGCUGCAGUGCCUCCUCCACGUGGCCCUCGUGUGGCUCGAGUACCGUAGGAGGAACGACGCGCCCGGGGACGAGGAUUCUGCUGCCAACCUAGAUUACGACGACGUCAACGACAGCGACGAGGACGAUGUUGGAACCUCUGGGAGUUCCUCUUCCACCGGAUUCACAAAACGAUGUGCAUCAUUGAAUACCAUGAUUUCAUUACUUUGGUGGAUGGUGGGCUUUUACUGGGUUGUCUCUGGUGGUGAUAUUCUUCUGCAAGAUGCUCCACGUUUAUACUGGUUGACUGUUGUCUUUCUAGCAUUUGAUGUCUUCUUUGCUAUCUUUUGUGUUGUUUUGGCAUGCUUGAUUGGAAUUGCCCUCUGUUGUUGUUUGCCCUGUAUUAUUGCUAUUCUCUAUGCUGUUGCAGGACAGGAGGGUGCAUCAGAAUCGGAUCUCAGUAUACUUCCAAAAUACAGAUUUCAAAUGUUAAGCAAUGAGGAAACACCUGGUGAGGGAGGGGGAGGAUCAAUGAUUCCUAUGGAGACCAGCAAUGGUUACUCGGUGAAUGAACGAACACUUUCACCUGAGGAUGCAGAAUGCUGUAUAUGCAUCUCUUCCUAUGAGGAUGGAGCUGAACUUCACGUUCUCCCUUGUAACCAUCAUUUCCACUCUACGUGCAUAGUGAAAUGGUUAAAGAUGAAUGCAACUUGUCCUCUUUGCAAGUACAAUAUUCUCAAGGGAAAUGAACAGAUAAUAUCAAGACAUGAAAAAAUAGAACCUCUCCCAAUUUGCUCGGUUUAGCUGUCAUUGCUUUGUUGCUUAAUGCUUCAGUAGAGAAAAAGGUAGAGGUAAGAAGGAAAGUAUUCAGUUUGGGCACAAACGAGUUGUCUUAGUGAUUUUGGUCUUCUGUCCUUUGAAGGAGUGAGAUUUUUAGCAUGUUUGUUUUGACGUUGAAUCAGCUCAAAUGUCCGUUCAAUUCACAGCAACAAGAGGCAUACUUCUCCCUUAGGGUGCAUUGAAAUUUGAAAGUUGUGGUAACUCCAAGUUGUCGUUUGAGCCACACUUCGUGGUCCUAGUUUGCUAGAAAAUAUUUCUAUUUUUGUUUCAUUUGCUGUUUUCUAAAAUUUGUAUAAGAAAUAAUGAAAGCAUCAUCUUAUGUAUUCUCCCCCAGCCCCCAAGUGUUUAGUCACUAAAUUAAAUAUGAUACGACUUUUCUAAAGUUGACGAGAUUACUUUAAAGAAUAAAGUUUACUUAUAAUUGUUUUUUGUAAAUUAAAAACUACAGUUGUGAUUGAUAACAAUCAAAUACAAGUGUAACAAAUUCUAAAAUUAAUUAUAAUUUUAACUAUUAUGUUUUAA